rnacentral:rRNA from 1 species
UACGGAGGGUGCGAGCGUUGUCCGGAAUCACUGGGCGUAAAGGGCGCGUAGGUGGCUCGGCAAGCGUGCGGUGAAAGUUCGAGGCUCAACCUCGAAUCGGCCGUGCGAACUGCCAGGCUUGAGCACUGUAGAGGCAGAUGGAAUUCCGGGUGUAGCGGUGGAAUGCGUAGAGAUCCGGAAGAACACCGGUGGCGAAGGCGGUCUGCUGGGCAGUUGCUGACACUGAGGCGCGACAGCGUGGGGAGCAAACAGG